rnacentral:rRNA from 1 species
UACGUAGGGGGCUAGCGUUGUCCGGAAUCAUUGGGCGUAAAGCGCGUGUAGGCGGUUCGGUAAGUCCGCUGUGAAAGUCGGGGGCUCAACCCUCGGAAGCCGGUGGAUACUGUCGGGCUAGAGUACGGAAGAGGCGAGUGGAAUUCCUGGUGUAGCGGGUGAAAUGCGCAGAUAUCAGGAGGAACACCAAUGCGAAGGCAGCUCGCUGGGACGUUACUGACGCUGAGACGCGAAAGCGUGGGGAGCAAACAGG